rnacentral:rRNA from 1 species
AGUGAACGCUGGCGGUAGGCCUAACACAUGCAAGUCGAACGGCAGCACAGUAAGAGCUUGCUCUUACGGGUGGCGAGUGGCGGACGGGUGAAGAAUACAUCGGAAUCUACUUUUUCGUGGGGGAUAACGUAGGGAAACUUACGCUAAUACCGCAUACGACCUACGGGUGAAAGCAGGGGAUCUUCGGACCUUGCGCGAUUGAAUGAGCCGAUGUCGGAUUAGCUAGUUGGCGGGGUAAAGGCCCACCAAGGCGACGAUCCGUAGCUGGUCUGAGAGGAUGAUCAGCCACACUGGAACUGAGACACGGUCCAGACUCCUACGGGAGGCAGAAGUGGGGAAUAUUGGACAAUGGGCGCAAGCCUGAUCCAGCCAUACCGCGUGGGUGAAGAAGGCCUUCGGGUUGUAAAGCCCUUUUGUUGGGAAAGAAAAGCAGCAGGUUAAUACCCCGCUGUUCUGACGGUACCCAAAGAAUAAGCACCGGCUAACUUCGUG